GACGAACGCUGGCGGCGUGCCUAAUACAUGCAAGUCGAACGCUGAAGGAGGAGCUUGCUCUUCUGGAUGAGUUGCGAACGGGUGAGUAACGCGUAGGUAACCUGCCUGGUAGCGGGGGAUAACUAUUGGAAACGAUAGCUAAUACCGCAUAACAGUAGAUGUUGCAUGACAUUUACUUAAAAGGUGCAAUUGCAUCACUACCAGAUGGACCUGCGUUGUAUUAGCUAGUUGGUGGGGUAACGGCUCACCAAGGCGACGAUACAUAGCCGACCUGAGAGGGGGAUCGGCCACACUGGGACUGAGACACGGCCCAGACUCCUACGGGAGGCAGCAGUAGGGAAUCUUCGGCAAUGGACGGAAGUCUGACCGAGCAACGCCGCGUGAGUGAAGAAGGUUUUCGGAUCGUAAAGCUCUGUUGUAAGAGAAGAACGAGUGUGAGAGUGGAAAGUUCACACUGUGACGGUAUCUUACCAGAAAGAGACGGCUAACUACGUG
rnacentral:rRNA from 1 species